AAACUCAAGAAAGGAGGUGAUCCAGUGUCGAGAAGGGUAUUGGAGAAAUGUGUCGGGACAGCUCGGGGGGCGCGCGGCUGAGGCAGCCCUUGGCCAAGAGGCACCCCGGGUGGGCCCCGGUCUAACCGACCCACCUCCUUAACUUCGGAGGGCCGUUCCCAUCGCCGGGAACGGCCC
rnacentral:misc_RNA from 1 species